GUUGAUCCUGCCGGAGGCCAUUGCUAUCGGAGUCCGAUUUAGCCAUGCGAGUUGCACGAGUUUAGACUCGUAGCAUAUAGCUCAGUAACACGUGGCCAAACUACCCUACAGACCGCGAUAACCUCGGGAAACUGAGGCCAAUAGCGGAUAUAACUCUCANGCUGGAGUGCNGAGAGUUAGAAANGUUCCGGCGCUGUAGGAUGUGGCUGCGGCCGAUUAGGUAGAUGGUGGGGUAACGGCCCACCAUGCCGAUAAUCGGUACAGGUUGUGAGAGCAAGAGCCUGGAGACGGUACCGGAGGAGCCUGCGGUUUAAUUGGACUCAACGCCGGAAAUCUCACCGGUCCCGACAGUAGUAAUGACAGUCAGGUUGACGACUUUACNCGACGCUACUGAGAGGAGGUGCAUGGCCGCCGUCAGCUCGUACCGUGAGGCGUCCUGUUAAGUCAGGCAACGAGCGAGACCCACACUUCUAGUUGCCAGCAAUACCCNUGAGGUGGUUGGGUACACUAGGAGGACUGCCNNUGCUAAAGUGGAGGAAGGAANGGGCAACGGUAGGUCAGUAUGCCCCGAAUGGACCGGGCAACACGCGGGCUACAAUGGCUCUGACAGUGGGAUGCAACGCCGAGAGGCGACGCUAAUCUCCAAACGGAGUCGUAGUUCGGAUUGCGGGCUGAAACCCGCCCGCAUGAAGCUGGAUUCGGUAGUAAUCGCGUGUCAGAAGCGCGCGGUGAAUACGUCCCUGCUCCUUGGGUAGUAAUCGCGUGUCAGAAGCGCGCGGUGAAUACGUCCCUGCUCCUUG
rnacentral:rRNA from 1 species